rnacentral:lncRNA from 1 species
ACUUUCUCUCUAUUUUAUCUUCUUCAGAUGGAGAGGGAGGAAACCAAAGAGGUCCAGCACCUUCUUUUCGCACACCCAUUGACUGGUUAAACGAAUCAAAAGACCGCUCUCUUAAUGCCGGGGAAUGGGUCUCCACCCUUUUAGGAGCGGUACUAGAGUUCAUUUCGCUUAUGGGGUUCAAUCCACUCAAAUUACAAUGGAAUCCACACCAAAGUAAUGAUUUGACUUCCUCUUCCGAGAGUUGAUUCCAUUAUUUUGAACGUUGAUUUCCGCCCCUAAAACAAACUCAUCCCGAAUACCACCCCUCAAAGAAUGGAUUUCCACUCAUGUAUAUUGAGAGAGUGUCUAGGGGACUUACUGCAUAUGCCGCACAUCUGAGGGCACCCCUCCCUAACCUGCGGGUAAUCGGCACAGAACUGGGGCCACCAUGUAUUAUAGCACCGGCUGGAUGUAUCCACACAUCGCUCUGUUAUAUAUAUACAGGUAGUUCCAAAGAAACCAUCAGGGCAGUUACAGGUACACGUUGAUCGGUCCACAACACCGCAGUUCUCACAUGAAUCUAGGGAACACUCUACUCAUGGUAGAAGGAGAUGGAGGAGAAGGAUGAUGAUGAAGAAGCAGGUUCAGGAGGAAAAGAGGAAGAAGAAGAAAAAAAAGGGAGAUUAAUGAGGAGGAUGUGACGAAAAAAAGGGUGGAGGAGGAAAGAAGAAGAAGAAGGAGAAGAAGGUAAAAGAGGAAGAAGAAGAAGAAAAAAGAAAGGAAAAUAAGAAGAAGGAAAAAAUAAAGAAAUAAAGAAACAACGAGAAUGCAUGGAGGAGGAGUUAAAGAAGAAGGGAGAAAGAAUAAAGAGAAAAUAGAAGAAGGCAAAGAAGAAGGAGAAGAAGAAGCAAAAGGAGGAAAUAAUAUGAAGGAGGAGAAUGGAAAAUCAGAAGAUUAGGAUAAAUAUAAAACGAGGUCGAGGUGAACAUUUGCCUGUAUAUUUGAACCGCCAAACAACUCCUCUAAUAUGAUCAUAGAUCUGUCAAAUUUGGCUGGAUAUUUUCUUCCCUAAGCAUCAUUUAAUUUUUUUGUAGAGAGUUGAAGAAGAGGAGAUGGAAAUAGAAGAAACGAAAUCAAAGGACAUACAAACAUUCAAGUAAAUUAAUUGUGAUACCCCGUCAUGACAAAAGAGCAUUAUUCUUGUAACUAAGCAUUUUUUAAAAUGGAAAAUGAGUUUGAAAUAAAUGAUAGGAAAUAAGAUAUUUCCACUCACCACAAACGUCGUUAUGUUCUGCACAUGACCCUGAGUUUGGAAAGAGAUAAAUGAUUUGUGUUAUGCCUCAGCAUUUAGAUUUGAUAAAUUUUUUUAAUUCCUGAAGAGUAUUAUGUUUUGUAUUCAUCACUAUGUAGGUUUGCAAGUACUGGGGGCAUUAUUAUUCCUCUAGAAAACUCCAAAGAUGUCUUAAUCAUCAUUCGAUUAUAUCAGAAAUCACGAAGUACUUUAUCACACAGCGCAAUCUUUGAGCAUAUUCUUUUUCCAUUAUGUAAACAUGCAUUUCCAGGAUCAUGAUAAUUAUAUAUUUUAUACAUUUUUUGUGUAUAGUAUAGAGGCCUACUUAGAACGUGUGAAAUAAAAUUAACAUGCUGAAUCCAUAACAAACAUAACUGCGAUAUAGGAAGGCUACCAAGUAAAUUUGAAGCUUGAUAUGUUUGCAGCCCUCUUUUGUAUCUAAGAAAAUUUGUAUUACUUCAAUAUUUCAGAGUUUCAACAUUUGAUGAUUUCAAACAACUAAUGAACCAUUAUUCUUCAUGUUUUCAUGAGUAUGAAAAUAAAAAAAUAUAUAAACAUUUUGAAAAACGAAGAUCUUACUGCAUUGCCCAUUAUAGCAUUGCCCCGACCCGCUGGCACAACUAGUACAGGGUUCUCCGAUAGCAUAUGGUUGGACACCUUGAUAGUUUCCUCUAAAUUGGAAUAAUAGUAUAAACAUAAGUUGAUUAUAACAUUAUACUGAUUUAUAGUACUAUGUCACUUUCAAAUCAGGACAAUUACUGCAAUUAUAGAACAUGAUAUGGUGUUAAACUUAAACACUACCGAAUUAUAUAUAGCAAGUAUGGUUAUAUUUCUUAUCAUAAUGUGUAAUGAUUUAAUGUUAUGCUCUAUGUGACGUUUGAAAGAAAGACGAAUAAAUAUUUUAUCUGAUCUUAUCUUAUCUUA